rnacentral:lncRNA from 1 species
UUAAUGGAAGAAAAAAACCUGCCUCACCUUAUUUGCCAUACAGAGUAAUUGAUUUGUUAAUAUGUAUAUUUUCUCUAGAGAAAAUGGGCAAAAUGUUUUAAACCCACAUCCUCUUAGUAUCCCGGCUCCAAUACUGUUCUAUCAUUUGGAUUUACUUCAAUAUUUACACCAGUUGAUUCAAUAGCCUUCCUAUAAGUGAGAUUACUAAUUAUGUCUUUCGAUGUAUAGGAAAUAUUACAAAAUUUUAUGAAACUGCUCAUAGACUGAAGGAGUCUCUAAAUACUAAUAUAUAAUAUUGUGUACCUUUUUUAUAGAGUGCCAACAGUUUUAAUGGCAAUGCAAUUGGUGGCAACAGCUUCAACAACAAUGCUAACAGCUUUGCAGCUGAUCCAGGAAGUGUGGACAGUUUUAAUGGCAAUGCCAUUGGUGGUAACAGCUUUGAUGGCAAUCAGAACAGCUUUGCAGCAGCUCCAGGGAAUAUUGGCAGCUUUAAUGGUAACUCAGGGGGUGAUGACAGCUUCAACAACAAUGGCAAUACAAAUGAUGAACCUAUCAUAUUCUAUUAAAUGGCCACAGAAGUCCAGACACUCUCCAACCAAUGCCAUUCAGCAUUUUUUCGAUCAUUUCAUCUUGAAUGACCAUUGAAGGAAACUACCCUGACAUCACUACAGAUCCCCCCGUCCCCCUUACAAAUAAAUAAACCAAUAAUAUAUUCAAGCUAUAAG